rnacentral:lncRNA from 1 species
CAGGGCUUCUAAAGGUGUAUAAGUUAAAAUGAGGUCAUUAGGGUGGGCCCUCAUCCAAUAUGACCACUGUCCUUACAGUCAGGGGAAAUUACAGCACAGACUCACAGAGGGAAGAACACCUGAGGCAGAAGAUGGAAGAGGAAAGCCUUUGGAGGAAGGCAACCCACCAACACCUUGGCCUGGGAUCCCCGGGAAGCCUACAGAACCACAGAAGGCUAAGGUCUGUUUACAGCCACCCAUCCUCUGGCAUUUUGCUACAGUAGCUCAAGCAGACUAAUUCCUAAGCAGGGGGACCUGAUUUCAUUGAUGGUCAUCUCAGAAGGCAGAGGCUGCUCCCGUGCCCUGUGCAAGGCUGGUUCACAGGUUAAAGGACUGAGCUCUGGACGUGGAACUGCCGCACACAGAAACGUGGCCUCCAUGUCAGGUAUGCUGCACCAGAGACCAGAAUCUUCCCUGACUUUGGACAAGAGAGUUAUGGUUGCCACAUUUAAUGGUGCCUACUAAGUGCAGGUAAUAUGCUAAGCCCUACAGGCAUACUCAUCCAUUCAAUCCUCAUUCCACCCCUAUGACGUAUGUCAAGCCCACAGUCCCUUAGUCAGAACUGAGGCCAGCAGAGUUUAGUGUGUGGGAAGUGGGGGACUUGAUAAAGGUCAUCCCG